ACCUCAGUAAAGAACCUGAGCAGUCAGACUCCCCACAAAAGUUGUUCGUGUGUUGUAAAUCUCUCCACAGUUGCUUUAACCCUCCUGUUAUGUUGCAGGUCAAAUUGACCCAUUUUUUUAAAAUUAAAAAAAAAAAAAAAUUGUUAAAAGGGUUUUUUGAGUAUGAAACUUCUUGUGCUUGGCUAAAUGAGGGUAAUCAACAAAUAAAAUAAAAUGGUUCAUUUAUGUAUGUGCACCCCUAAUGCCCAUUAGGCCCUAAUGUCACAGUGGAUGAAAGGCUAGUGGCACUCAGAGGUCGCUGCCCAUUUAGGCAAUAUAUGCCUCCCAAACCAGCCAAAUAUGGCAUAAAAAUCUGGGCAGCAUGUGAUGCAAACACCAACUAUGCAUUGAACAUGCAUGCUGGAAAGCUGGGUGUAGGAGCCCCAGAGAAGAAUCGGGGCACAAGGUCUCAGGGAGCACGGCAUAACAGUUGUGACAAUUUUUUUACAAGCUACAACUUGGGUCAGGAGUUUCUAAAGAGAAAGACUGCAGUGCCACCUAAGGGGGGGUUGGACAACUUGGACAAAGUCACAGUGUCCUACAACACCAAGCGAAUGACUGCACGCUGGCCACUGGUCAUCUUUUACAACAUGAUCGAUGUAUCCGCCAACCAUGCAUUUGGACGGAGAUCUUUCCUGAGUGGGACGUGUCAAAGCUGUACAAGAGGUGCAUCAUUCUUGAGGAGCUGGGGAAGGCGCUUGUGGUACCGCAUAUACAACAGAGGCAGCACAUGCCACGGACCCCACCUGCUGCAGCUAAAGUGAGGGAGAGGGCUUCGCCCAGUACACCAGUGCGUGAGAUUGCUGCCUGGGGCAAGAGGCAGAGAUGCCAGGUCUGCAAGCCAUCUGGUGAUGUGAAGACAAGCAUGACCUGUGGAAAAAGUGCAAAAUUCAUUUGCACAAAACACUCUGUGAUGACAUGUCCCUCGUGCUGUGUAGACACAUGCACCUGAUUCAGUUCCACCUAUUAAUUUCUAAACAUUGCAUAGUGUUACUGUCACAACAUGUGACGGCAUGUCACUAGUGUACUGUGGAGAGUCAGACACACACACUGUUCAUAUUGCUAAUCUCUUAUUUUGUUCCUUUCUAGAUCAGAAACAGUGCUUAAAUAAAGUUUACUUUCACUACAAAUCCUCUCGAGUCAUUAGUCUUGAUUUUAAAUCAGCGAGUCAAGAAGAUGUCACAUGUUACUUUAUCUGCAUCACUGCAUAAAAAGGAGAAAAAUAUAAAUUGUAAAAUAACAUUUUAAAAUAAUUAAUCUCAUGUAAAACUAUUGUGUUUUAUAUGGUCUUUCCAACAUACAUUAAGUUUUGAAAUGCAUUUUUUUUUUUAUGAAAAACAAGUGAAUUAUCCUCAUUGAACCAUGAUCUGUGAGGGGUAUACACCAUUACACCAAAUAUUGAUUGAAAUGGUUAGUAAUGGAGUUAAUAGUGAGAUAUAAUCAAUGUUUAUUGGGAAUUUUUGGGUUUCUGAGACUUUUUGAUAAGUAAAAAUGCCCCAAACAUCAUUGCUGUUCCUGGGAAA